UAACGAAGUUUUUCCUUUAUUUUAAAUGUAAUUCAAACUACCUGCAACUUUAAAAGUUCCCUCUAUAAGUUCUCGCUAGGGUUUCCCAUGCCUCGACGCUCUCCCUUCAAAUGCUAUAUGUAUUCUAGCUUCAAAGCACAUAAAGAUUGCUGCCGCUACAACCACAUCAACAAAAACACACACAGCAUAUACAUAACGGUUAUGAUUGUUGACUGCGCCUCAUGACAAAUCUGAAAUGCGAACAGUAGCAGGAGCUGGAGCUGGAACUAAGACUGGAGCUGUAACUGGAACUGGAACCGCCGGAAACAAGAUGAAGCAGACGACAAUAAACAGGCGACAAAAGCUGCCCAUUUGGCUGGAGUCAAGGCAACAGAAGAGCGGUGAAGGGGCAGAAAGAAGACCGGGGGCAAAGGGAUGUGAAUAAAUUUCAAGAUAUGCGUCGUUCUUGUCGCUCUGCUUGUUGUUGUGGAGUUGCUUCUGCUGUCGUGGGGUUAAAGUACCGUUGAAAUGCUUUCAGCAUUUUUCAUAUUCAUAACAUAGCAGCAGAGCGCAAGCGAGAGAGAGAGGGAGGCACGGACAGAGAGGUGAGGCAGUGGGCGAGGGGAAGGGCUGCAUUUCAAGCAAACAAACAGAAAAUAAAUAAAAGGCGUAAAGACGUAAAAGCAAAAUAGGGAAAACAAGAAACCAGAAGCAAAACGCCGAGAGCAGCUCCAAGGGAUGGUCACAACUUGCGCCA